rnacentral:rRNA from 1 species
GAUGAACGCUGGCGGCGUGCCUAAUACAUGCAAGUCGAGCGAACGGACGAGAAGCUUGCUUCUCUGAUGUUAGCGGCGGACGGGUGAGUAACACGUGGAUAACCUACCUAUAAGACUGGGAUAACUUCGGGAAACCGGAGCUAAUACCGGAUGAUAUUUUGAACCGCAUGGUUCAAAAGUGAAAGACGGUCUUGCUGUCACUUAUAGAUGGAUCCGCGCUGCAUUAGCUAGUUGGUAAGGUAACGGCUUACCAAGGCAACGAUGCAUAGCCGACCUGAGAGUGUGAUCGGCCACACUGGAACUGAGACACGGUCCAGACUCCUACGGGAGGCAGCAGUAGGGAAUCUUCCGCAAUGGGCGAAAGCCUGACGGAGCAACGCCGCGUGAGUGAUGAAGGUCUUCGGAUCGUAAAACUCUGUUAUUAGGGAAGAACAUAUGUGUAAGUAACUGUGCACAUCUUGACGGUACCUAAUCAGAGAGCCACGGCUAACUACGUG